UACGAAGGGUGCAAGCGUUACUCGGAAUUACUGGGCGUAAAGGGCGCGUAGGCGGCCUGUUAAGUCGAACGUGAAAUCCCCGGGCUCAACCCGGGAACUGCGUCCGAUACUGGCAGGCUUGAAUCCGGGAGAGGGAUGCGGAAUUCCAGGUGUAGCGGUGAAAUGCGUAGAUAUGCGGAGGAACACCGAUGGCGGAAGGCAAUCCCUGGACCUGUACUGACGCUCAUGCACGAAAGCGUGGGGAGCAAACAGG
rnacentral:rRNA from 1 species